UACGGAGGGGGCUAGCGUUGUUCGGAAUUACUGGGCGUAAAGCGCACGUAGGCGGCUUUGUAAGUUAGAGGUGAAAGCCCGGGGCUCAACUCCGGAAUUGCCUUUAAGACUGCAUCGCUAGGAUUGUGGAGAGGUAAGUGGAAUUCCGAGUGUAGAGGUGAAAUGCGUAGAUAUCAGGAGGAACACCGAUGGCGAAGGCAGGUCUCUGGGCUGACACUGACGCUCAUGCACGAAAGCGUGGGGAGCAAACAGG
rnacentral:rRNA from 1 species